rnacentral:lncRNA from 1 species
CCGGCGGCAGCCUCGGCGGUCUGGGCGGGGCGGGAAGCCCGCUUUCAACCCCGCGUACCCUCUGACCCCGGAAGUGCUUGCUGCGCAGGACCCCUUGAAAAAAAAUGAGGACCCGUCUUUUUUAGGUCACAAGAUUGCGCCAACCCUUACAUGGUCCUUAAAAAAAAAACCUUCUGACACUGCAGUAGUGAAAAUGAAGCGCACGAUGGGCGGAAGCUGUGAGUCCGGCAAAGUUUUAAAAUGAUGACGUAUUUUAUUAACUCUAACGGCACUGGCGGGUGACUGAAAAUACUAGUGCUGUGUAUGCGGGAUAGACAUUAUUUUCCUGCCCUACAUGAGGGGCUCGUGCGCGGAACGACAUGGGCAGCCCCGGCGGAAACUGCAGGCACAAGCCGGGACGCCGCGGGUUUAAAACAUGCGCGUGAGGUGACCAGAGCGCGUGCGCGAGGGUGUGGGGGGAUGGGAGGGGCAGCAGCCCUCUUCCGGGGGGGAGGGGCGGCGAGGCGAGGCCUGCGGAGCGGAGGAAGACAAACAUAAAGAUGAAGUGCUUAAUUCAAGGUCACACAAUGUCGGGGAUGGACCUCCAGAUUUCCUUACUGACCUGCAUUAUCUUGUGGAUACCUGAGUGAAUUCCACACCACCCAUUUUAUAGAUGAAACCACUGAGACAUGGAGCAAUUGACUGAGUAGUCACUGCCCCACCCCUGCCUGGAGCCUCACACAUGACUCGCCUCCUCUCAGUGACCACAGGUGAGACGUGGUCUUGUAACACAGUGGUUAAGAAUGUGACUUUGGAGCCAGCCUGCUAGGGGCUGAAUUCUGACUCAGCCAUUUACUAACUGUGUGACCUUAGGGAGGAGGACCUGGUUGAUAGAAGAAUUUAUCUCGUAGUCUUAACAUCCACUGUAAUUCCAAACUUUGAGGACGAUAGAGAUCAGUGGGCUUUGACUGCCCAGCAUGCAGUCUCCAUUCUUAGGUGGGUUCCCAAGCCUGUAAAAUGUAAGCCUUAUGCUGCUGAGGGCCAUCUUGCCACCCUGAGGGAAACGCUGCCUGAGAAUGAAACAAGCAUAAGUAAAAGCUGAGCUGUGAGAUGGAGCAAGAUGAAGGCCACAUGACAUCUUUGGAGCACCUGGAUCUAACUGUGCCUUAAGCUAGUCUAACCCUGAACAUUUCAUCAUUUCAUUGACAUGAGCCCAGGUUUUCUUUUUUUUUGGAUGGAGUCUUGCUCUGUCGCCCAGGCUGGAGUGCAGUAGCUCAAUCUCGGCUCACUGCAAGCUCCACCUCCCGGGUUCACGCCAUUCUCCUGCCUUAGCCUCCCAAGUAGCUGGGACAACAGGCGCCCACCACCACUCCCAGCUAAUUUUUUGUAUUUUUAGUAGAGACGGGGUUUUACCAUGUUAGCCGGGAUGGUCUUGAUCUCCUGACCUCAUGAUCCGCCCGCCUCGGCCUCCCAAAGUGCUGGGAUUACAGGUGUGAGCCACUGCACCCAGCCCUCAGGUUUUCCCUUUUUUUACCCCUCCUUUUGAAAAUUUGAUGUGGAAUUUUGCCACCUGCAGCCAGAAGAGUUUUAACUAAUCAGUGCCAUAAAUUUUAUAUAGUUCUCCUUGCAAAAUGUGGAUCAGCCUUUCUCAGCAAAUCCUUUGUCAUAAAGUGCUGAAUUGUAAGUUUGUCAUGAGAAUCACAUGAGAUCAUGCAUGUGAAGAACCUGGCAUUAUCCUCCUCAUAGAAAAAAACCAGUAAAUAUUAACUACAGGAAGCAAGGAAGGAGUGGGGUGAGGGGAAGAAGAAGGGGUACUGAUUUAAAAGAACCCUGGAGUCCUAAGGAUAAUCUAGGAACCCUCAGACCCAAUCCGAUACCCCUAUUCUAAAUGCUCCUAGUGCCCUGUACCUUCCCCUCAUAAGCCUUCAUUAUCAUUGUAAUGAUAUGUUUAUGUAAUAUUUUGAUUAAUGUCUCUCCUUCACUGACCUAGCAGUUCUAGCAGGGCAGUGAUUUUGCUGUGUUGCAUCCCCAGCACCUAGUCUGGUAUGUGGCAUUCAGCAUAUGUUUAUUGAAUGAAUGGCCAUGUGGUUAUUCAGAUCCUCCUUGAUUAUUGGGGUUAGGAUUGUGGCAGAAGUGGCAAAAUCAGGGAGAGUAGUCCCUGUCCCCUCUGUAUCUUAUACACUGCCCACACUCCCAACACACAUACACAUACAGAGAAUUUUGUCUCAAUUAGAUAAUUAACUUCUGCUUGGUUGUAAACCAAACCACUGGUUCUUAAACUUUCAUUGGAUCAUUUUAUUGAAGAAUUAAAUAGUGUGGUUCUGGCCUAAUGUCUGGAAAGCCUUGCAGAGGAGUGGAUUAGGUCUUUGUGAUAAACAGGCAGCCUUCCCUGCUCCUGUGUCUUUAUAAAAUCUAUUUAACUGGAGUAGUCCACCCUCCCUCAGGCUCUUACAGGAAUAUGUUGGAGGCUGUAGGAAGGUGGGAAACCGAGAGGGAAAGGACUGGGCCGCUGGAGACUUCACUCAUUCCCUAGCAAGAAACAAAAGCAGUAAAAGGUGGCCCGAGGACAACCUGAAGCUCACUCCUUCAGCACUUUUGGCUGGAGGUCACUUGUUGGAGCCCCACUCAGAGCUCAGCACACCACCCCACCAGCAGCCUCCUCCUCCCAGCUGAGGCUGCAUUUCAUCCCUUCCCCCAGCCUGCUUUCCCUGAGAUAGGGGAGUGUUUCCCAGGGCCCAUGUGACUUCCACUGGCAAGUGACGAUUACCAAUGGUUUACUAGUCAGUGAAACUACCAAAGGCUUUUGUGCUGUAGUAAUCCUUUUCCUGUUUAAAACUCUGGGGAUUUUCUAAUGUUGCCAAUAGUUUUUCAAGUCAGCAAUUACUGUGUGGAUUAUGUAAUGGCUCGGUAUUAAAAAUAGAAAAGACUGGAGUUUGCAUCUAUUUUAACCAAAUCUUGAAAACAGAGCAAAGGGAGGGGAAGGGUGGAGAGGGAGAGACCAGAGGAGGAGGGAGAAAAAGAGAUCAUGUGACUGGAUAAGACAGCUCACAAUUCACUGUGCCUUUCUCCCACCAUUUGUGGCCCAAGGACCUGUACUCCCUCCUCAGCCUCCUCUAGGGAGGGGUCCUUGAUGAGAAUUCUGAGGACACAAGACCCCUUGUGGAUAUUUCUUAGCUCAGCCUUGGUGUGCUUACCUGCUUCUGACAAGCAAAGUGGCCAAGUAGGGGAGGGAGUUGAAUCUGAUGUCCUCCACUAAGUCCAG